AUGGAUUUGGGGGAGCCUGCACAGGUCUUGGAGGCUUCUACAAUAUCAUAUCUUAGAAGAGUUCUGAUUCAUUACCUCAUCUGUUGGGUUGUCGUGCUUGAUUCCAGAUGGAAAGAUCUAAACAGACCUCGAGAUUUCAGCUAUAUAUUACCGUUGAUGAUUUUCUGGCGUUUCUUCUUCCAUCGUUCGAUGUGCCGGUCGUCCUGCCGUAUGUCGCCCCUUCGAUUCGUGUGGAGUCUACUUGUUGUUGCAGUUGAUGUUUAUUGCAGGAUGGAAAGAUCUAAACAGACCUUGAGAUUUCAGCUAUAUAUUACUAUUGAUGAUUUUCUGGCGUUUCUUCUUCCCUUGUUCGAUGUGCUGGGCGUCCUGCAGUAUGUCACCCCUUCGAUUCGUGUGGAGUCUACUUGUUGUUGA
rnacentral:rRNA from 1 species